rnacentral:piRNA from 1 species
UGCUGCCAAUGGUAGGAAUGGAUGAUGU